rnacentral:rRNA from 1 species
UCCUACUUGGAUAACUGUGGCAAUUCUAGAGCUAAUACAUGCAAAAAAGCUCCGCCCGCAAGGAACGAGCGCAUUUAUUAGAAUAAAAACCAAUCGGGUUUCGGCCCGUAAUUUGGUGAAUCUGAAUAACUUUGCCAAUCGCACAGUCCUAGUACUGGCGAUGUAUCUUUCAAGUGUCUGCCUUAUCAACUUUCGAUGGUAGGUUAUACGCCUACCAUGGUAGUAACGGGUAACGGAGAAUAAGGGUUCGACUCCGGAGAGGGAGCCUGAGAAACGGCUACCACAUCCAAGGAAGGCAGCAGGCGCGCAAAUUACCCACUUCCAGAACGGAGAGGUAGUGACGAAAAAUAACGAGACAGUCCUCUUCGAGGUCUGUCAUCGGAAUGGGUACAAUUUAAAUCCUUUAACGAGGAUCUAUUGGAGGGCAAGUCUGGUGCCAGCAGCCGCGGUAAUUCCAGCUCCAAUAGCGUAUAUUAAAGUUGUUGCGGUUAAAACGCUCGUAGUUGGAUCUGCGGCCUCGGAGAACGGUCCCCCGAAAGGGUGGUCACUGUCUCUCCUAGCCUAAAUUCGAGUCGUCUCUAGGUGCUCUUUACCGGGUGCUUAGAGUGACUAGAACGUUUACUUUGAAAAAAUUAGAGUGCUUAAAGCAGGCGAAAUAGCCUGAAUAAGGUGCAUGGAAUAAUGGAAUAGGACCUCGGUUCUAUUUUGUUGGUUUUCGGAACCCGAGGUAAUGAUUAAGAGGAACAGACGGGGGCAUUCGUAUUCCGGCGCUAGAGGUGAAAUUCUUGGACCGCCGGAAGACGGACGACUGCGAAAGCAUUUGCCAAGAAUGUUUUCAUU